rnacentral:lncRNA from 1 species
AAAUAAUGAUUGAGCAGCACCUGGAAUGAGGUAGUACUUUCGCGGCUUUUUCAGGUGGAUGAGCUUGAACUAAUACACCCUAUUAUAAUUUUACAAAUUUUCUCGCCAUUGUAACAAGCAUACAAUUCAUGGGGAAGUCAAGAAAUGGAUCAAAUAGAAGAAGGCAAAGGAACUAAGAAAGAGUGUCUUGAGAAGGGGCUUUGAGGGAC